CUAUAGUGCCAAACAUUUUUUACCUCUUUUUGCUUAGCCUUAAGAGCUCGUAGUUUUCCGCUAAAAACUUAAUUGUCACAUCAGGACAGUAAAUGCAGUUCAACCUGACCAAGAUAAUCAUGGAAACUUUGUGUCUUCCUUAAUUUCUGCUCUCUCCUGUCCACCCCACCAACACACUAAGCUCCUGUAAAGACUAAAGUUAGAAGAGACCGUUGGUAAAGAUGUAUUUCGUCAGUGAUAUGAAGGUGAUGUAGCUGUUCUCAUGAUAACCAUAAUGCCAUGUUUGCUGCAUUCCAUAGGUGAAAGUUUUUUUUUAAUGCAGCAGGUGUGUUCUGUAAGAUAUUUGGACUGCUAUUAGGUUGGACUGCUAUUAGGUUGUGUAAAAAUGAAAAAAAAAAACAUUUUUCCUAUAUACCGAGAUUCUCAAUUUUUAUUCUUAAUAUAGUAAUGUAGGGAAAAUUGGGAUACCUAAGCAGAUAUUAAAUGAUUCCCACCAGGUGUGUAAAUUGGGACAGUUCCAAAUCCUUGUUUGUAUUGUAAUACAUAUUUUUUUUAUCAAUACAGGUACUAACACAAACUAAAAUUUUACGCCUGAUCAUUAGGUUUAAAUUUUUCGUAAUUUAUCUUCUGUUGCCAGUGACUGAGUUUCUAAUGUGUUCCCAUAUAUUACUUUGUUAAUAUAGUAGUACACCAUAUUUGAAUUACCCAGGAUGUAGAACGUGUUAAAUUACAAACAUUUAAAAUUUUGACAAUAAAUAUCGGCAAAACUACAAUGUGUGGGCCACAAGCUAAACUUUUUAACGUAUAUAUAUAUUCUUUUUCGGCUUGUGUGUACAAAUUUAACUGUGGUGUGUGUGUACCACAUAAACUUAAUAUAGGCAUAUUCAUUUGUUUACAAACCAAUACUAAUUUCUUUAGACACAAUCAUACUUUACAAUAUAUUUCGGCCUAUUUUUAUUAAGUUGCAAUACUGGAUAAUUUAAACUUGCAUACUAUAAAGUUAGCACCUUACUGUUACACUUUUAAUAAAUCAAAAUAUAUAUUCAUGUACUUUAGAAAAAAAAAAACUGUCUAAUUAGCAUGUAAUUAAGAUUACCUUGUUUGUUCAUAGGCAUGUACGAGUGUUGGAACAGCACUUUUUUUAUUGGUUACAAUUGAAACAUAGUUCAUAAUUAACACCAUGUGAUUUUUUAACAUUGCAUAUUUGCCCCAGGACGAUAUUGUUAACAGGUGUUCACAAGUUCUUUAUUAUAAAAUUAUUUUAUAAUGAAAUACGAUUGGAGCUAUGCAUUGGAGUUAUGCUCUCCUGUACCACCAUGUCACCAUACUAUUAAACAAGCGAAUGUGUAUGUCGUAUUUUAUUAUACACAAACUCAAUCCAACACACGAUUGUUUUUGUAGAA